CCACACAUGUGAUCAAUCUCCAGCUUUGAUGGCUCCCUACAGGACUGAAACCUCUACAAACUACAAGUGGCUUCUGCAGAUUUCCUCAGGCCGAGGGCAGUCAUGGCCCCUCCACUUGUCCUCAGCCCAGAUGAGUGGACAGAAAAUGUAGGCGCUACCCCAGAAGCCAGGAGCCCGCUUCCCUUUCCCUGAGGAAGUGGACACCGAGCUGAGAGAAUAAAACCAAACAAAGUAAAACAGAAUAAAGCCAAUCAAAGCAAAAUAAUGGAAGCGAUACGGGACUUCAGAACAAGAUAAUAGGAAAUCAACAAUUGCUACCAUAACAUAUCUUGAUAUCAUCAAAAUAGCUAUCUAUUAAUAGCUGUGAUAAUCAAGUGUUGCUGGCAUCCACAAUUUAUUGAAAUGCUAAAUGCAAAUCAACAAAGACUCAUUUUCGCCCAUUGGAGACCAGGAAAUGACCAUGUAGAUGUUGUGGACUCUUGUACUACAUCACUGAACCUAGUCUGACCAAGCUGUCCUGUGGACCUGAGCUGUGACCAAAACAUA